rfam:Oryza glaberrima chromosome 12 Oglab12_unplaced162_27, whole genome shotgun sequence.
CUUCGGUUUUCGGUUUUCGUGUUCAACGUUUGACCGUCCGUUUUAUAUGAAUUUUUUUUAUGAUUAGUAUUUUCAUUAUCAUUAGAUGAUAAAACAUGAACAAUACUUUAUGCAUGACUUAUCUUUUUAAAUUUUUUCAUAAUUUUUUUAAAUAAGAUAAACGGUCAAACGUUAGACACGGAAACCCAG